ensembl:lncRNA
CCUCUUCUCUCCUCUACCCUCUUCUCUCUUCUCUCCUCUACCCUCUUCUCUCCUCUACCCUCUUCUCUCCUCUACCCUCCUCUUCUCUCCUCUACCCUCCUCUUCUCUCCUCUCCUCUCCUCCCAUCUCCUCUUCUCUCCUCUUCUCUCCUCUACCCUCCUCUUCUCUCCUCUACCCUCCUCUCCUCUCACCUCCUCUCUCUCCCCCCUUUUGUUCAGUUGUCUUGUAUGUCAGUUAUAUGUGUACUUGAAAAGACAGGGCCGACUGAUUAGCACUAAUGUUGAGGGACCUGGGGUUGCAUAUCAACCUCACGAUGGUGACGCUACAGUCUACAUGCUGAUAACAUACGCUAUAACAAUACUUGUAUAAGUUUAGAGAUUCGGUUCUGUGACGUUGCAUCAUGUGGUCAAAACAACCUUUUCUUUCUGGGUGCGGAGAUGAGAGAUGGCGGAGCAUCUUUCUCUAUUCUAACAACCGGUCUGUUCUUUGUUAUUUUCUAUUCCUCAUGAGGCAUUUGUUGAAUUAGGUACCAUUUCGGAUGCAACCAAUGAGAGAGCUGUCUCUCUCUCUCUCUGCAGUGUGGUUGGUAGGUAGAUUUGGGCUCUAUGGUUUAGAAUAGAGCUCCUCUCUCUGCAGUGUGGUUGGUAGGUAGAUUUGGGCUCUGGUUUAGAAUAGAGCUCCUCUCUCUGCAGUGUGGUUGGUAGGUAGAUUUGGGCUCUGGUUUAGAACAGAGCUCCUCUCUCUCUGCAGUGUGGUUGGUAGGUAGAUUUGGGCUCUAUGGUUUAGAAUAGAGCUCCUCUCUCUCUGCAGUGUGGUUGGUAGGUAGAUUUGGGCUCUAUGGUUUAGAAUAGAGCUCCUCUCUCUCUGCAGUGUGGUUGGUAGGUAGAUUUGGGCUCUAUGGUUUAGAAUAGAGCUCCUCUCUCUCUGCAGUGUGGUUGGUAGGUAGAUUUGGGCUCUAUGGGUUGACGGUUAGAACAAAUAACCGUACAGAAUAAGACAUGUUUGUUUUUAAAUAGCUGGUAUCUAUUCAUGUUAAUUAGACAUUUCAAUCUUAAUACUAGACUUUCUUCUAGAUGUAUUUGUGUUCAGUAAUAGUCAUAUGUUUCACUUACUGCUGGUACAGUUGUACUCCAUGUUAUUAUUUAGGUAUCUUCUCUCUGGGAGCAGCCAGCUAGCGACACAGAGGGGACAGCCUUCUAUACUGCUCUAUCUGAUCAGUUGGGAGUAUAAUCUGCAACGUUAACAUGACGUCUCUAUAACGUUAACAUGACGUCUCUAUAACGUUAACAUGACGUCUCUACAACGUUAACGUAACAUCGCUAUAACGUUAACGUGACGUUUCUACAACGUUAACGUGACGUUUCUACAAUGUUAACGUGACGUCGCUAUAACGUUAACGUGACGUUUCUACAACGUUAACGUGACGUCGCUAUAACGUUAUUAAUAAUCCCUGGUACAGCGGGGGGUUUUUUGUGUUCAUGACUGAAUAAGAGAAAGGAAUGAAACAACCAGCCAGAGAGAUGGACCCAAACUCAACCACACGCUGAUCAUGAUUCUGUUGAGAAGGUUUCUUUUAUUUAGUAUUUUCGAUGUUGUUUCUUCUCUAGCGGUAGGUAGCUGUAGUUAGCGGUAGGUAGCUGUAGUUAGCGGUAGGUAGCUGUAGUUAGCGGUAGGUAGCUGUAGUUAGCGGUAGGUAGCUGUAGUUAGCGGUAGGUAGCUGUAGUUAGCGGUAGGUAGCUGUAGUUAGCGGUAGGUAGCUGUAGAUAGGCUGCGGCGGGUUGUGAAACUGACUUGUUUUAAUAACUCCUUUACUUCCUGUACCAAGGCAGCAGACAUUCCUUCCUGUAGGAAACCUAGUACAGGUGUUUCAUUCUUCUCAGUAUAGCUACUAACUUAUUAACGGAAAGGUGGUGAUUAGGGUUGUGAAAUUCCAGAAAAUGUUUCCAAAAUUCCCAGAUUUCCCGGAAUUUCCGGUUGGAAGAUUCUGGAAAAUCCAGGGAUCCUCCAACCAACUAGAAUUUCUGGGGGUGCUAGAACAUGAUAAAUCUCUGAGGGUUUAUGAGGCACUGUCCAUCUUAACGCUUUAAAACCCUUCAUACAUGUCCUUACAUUCCAUCAUCCCAACUCGUAUCCUUUGGACAUUUAGCAUAUUUACAUUUGACUAAAGCUAUACUUCCUAAAUGCUACCCUAUGUCCUAGGCAGUGCCCUACGUUUGACCUUCAUCUCCUCAGAGGAAGACGAGCAAGAGGAAGACGUUUGACAAUAUUCUCUUUUGGUGCUUUUCUCAAACGUGUCUGUCCAAAAGUAGUGCACUAUGUAGGGAAUAGGGAACCAUUUGGGAUGGAGCUGAAAACAUAUUCUCUGAGAGCCGGGAUCCAGCUGCCAGUCAGCUGUUGUUGUUGUUGUUAUUAUUAUUGACUUUUAAUGUUUAAUGAGUUUAGAUGUAAAGAAACUCUUCUAAUCUAUAGUAGUUCAUAACAGAUGAAUCGGUCUGUACUUUCUGUAAAUGUUACGAGAAAACAUUUUAUUUAGGCCAUUGUGGUGAAAUGAACUGUCAUUUUUAAUGCAUGAACACAGAGGGAAGGGGACACUAGUGUCCUGAAGUCAUUUAUCCUAAAACACAUUUCAUUACCGUCACUAGGUAGUAGUAGGGUUGCUAAUUUCUAAUACCUUUUCCUAAAAUUCCCAGGUUUUCAAAAAAUAAAAAUCCCGGUUGGAAGGAUUCACAGGAUCAGGAGGUGAAUCCUCCAAACAGAAUCUGGGCGUUUUUUGGGGAAGUUAACGUAAUUUGGGAGUCUCUCACUUGUUCUGCUUCGGGCGGUAAAUCACUUCAUGACAAAGUCUUUUUUUAUAUAGGUAACUAUAAGACCAUCAUUACGCUGUGCGUAACGAAAUGUACAGAGAAGAUAAAAAAUCAUAGGUAUUUUUGGAGGAUCAAUGAAUUUGUUAAUGACAUGUAGCUAUUUAAUUUCCCUUCUUUCUUUCUUUUUUUUGUCCAAUCAUGCAUUUUAUAACUUUUUGGUUUUUGGUGUAAAAAAAAAAAAAAAAAUUUUUUUUUUUUAGAUGUUUAUUUUUUUUAUUUUUAAAAGGUUAAAGUGCAGGAACACAGAAAUUAUAUGAAAACACUGCAUUGAUGAUAGCCACUUGUGUAUUUUGAUGAUAGCCACUUGUGUAUUUUGGCAGUUAUAAUGUUGCAUAAAGGCUACUCAGCAGACAGACAUAACGGUUAUGUCCCAACAUAUAUAAGGAAUUGUGUCAUUUGUAACCAAUCCUCUUUAUUUCAACCAUGUGCCUCUUGAGACAAUUGAACAAAAAAUAUAUCGUUGUCAUCCAUCUUGUUUGACUUCUUUUUGUGAUCCAGUAAUAACAGGUGUAUAGCCAGAUGGUCAUCCAACCAGUUUGGGAUAAAGAUGCUACUGUAUUAGCUAUGUUAUUUAAUGGAAGAUCCCAGGAAGACUGGCUGUGUGCUUCCACAUCAAUGAUAUGCAUCCAAAAUGGCACUGUUUCCCUGUAUAUUGUACUAGUCAACAGCAGAUACAUAGGGAAUUAGGUACCAUUUCGGGUGCAACCAAUGAGACACUAAAUAUUCACGUUCCUUCACUUGGAAGCUGCACCAACAUUGUCCAUGCUGUUAGUAAAUCUGUUCAACCUUAAUUUUGUGGCCUUGUUCCUCCAACUAAAAAGGUUUUGGCAGGCCACCUUUUUUUGUACUUAAGUAGUAUUGAUGAACAAUAAACUGCUCUUAAACCUCAA